ensembl:lncRNA
CUGAGAUUUGGACUUUUGCUGUCCCACAAAUACAGUCCCUUUAACGCCUGGAAAAACAAAAAUAGGGCUCAUUAGUUGCUGAAUGCUUCAACUAGGCACGAACCCUGUUGCUCGACCAAAAAAAGCAGAAAACAAAAUCCGGUAUUUGUCUUUUUCACACUAAUCAACACAUAACUGCUGGUUCUUCAUUUCCACCGUAGGUGACGGAACCCUGAGGGUGAGGCUGAGCCAUCGAGAUUUCCAAUUUAAAAAUACAGUUGGAGUGAACUUAAAUGUGAUAUUGACAACAAGGACACGGAGCGGAAGUUCCAUCUUACCUUUGGAAAGUACGUCUCGUCUUCUACGCCCGACCGCGGCAGGCCGCUGGCUUGUUUUAGACGGAUCGAUGCGAGGCCGCCCUGCAUUCAGACACACAGGGUCAUGAAUAUUCUCAUCAGGCGUGCGGACCGGUGGCCGGUCAGGACCUCGCUCAGAGGACACCCGUGGGGCCGGAGAGGAGCCAAUCAAGCCCUUUUUUUCACGAGGGUCACCGGUGAUUACGAUGCAGGGCAUAUUUUUCAUUACCAUCCGCUGGGGCGAGGCAGCGUGACGCGGGGCCGCAGGUCGGUCGCUCGUUCCUUACAGUUUCUUGCACUUGCAAGUGGAAGAUUUCACCAUGUGGAGGAACGUAGCGAGGCGGUGCAUUCAAAUGAAGAACAAUAAAAAAAAGACGGUUGUGCUGGAGAGCUGAGACACAAUCGAAACGUUAUGAACAGAGGAGCAUUUAACAGGAAGCCAGCAGUCACAAAAUGACUCAUUUAUCAUCCGUGAAUGAAUUAGCAACCAGCCACCAGAUGUCCUCUGCCUUCUCGUGUCUUCUUCGCGUCUCCCCGGACCUGUCUUCUCUUGUCUCCUUCCCGUCCCUCCCGAAAGGGCUCUCGGUGUGCCGACGGCGCCGCGCUGAUUGCAAGCGCAUUAAGACGGACACGGAUGAGAGAGGGAGAAGAACAUACCGUGACAGUGAGAGUAAGUAAAGAGGACAGAGAUAAAGUAUAAAUGUGUUUGUACUGAAGCACCAGGCGGACGGUCGAGGACGGAGAGAGGGCGGAGAGUCGUAGAAAAAAGUACGUUUUCGCAGGUAACUGAAAGAGUAAGUGCAUGGGCACUCGUGUGUGGAAGAAAUAUCUCCUCUGCCUUCCCCUUCACUUGGCAUUAUCCCUCCAAGAGUCCGUUUGACUCGAGCCGGUAUUUUAUCAGCGCAAGGCAGCGCUGCACCUUCCUCUUGAAGGUGUGAUGAACGUGCAGGUGCAAAGCCCAACGGCCACACUUUAGGUCAACGAUAACACUGAGUCCACUCUUUGGGCCUAAAGGAGGCUCUGAUUUCUAACCAUUUGCUGAAGCCCGAUCUUAUUAAA